GUGCUCAGUUCAACACCUAUACUGUAAUUGGAAUAGCAAUGAAAGAUUAGCAUGGCCCAUGUGCAAGGAUGACAUGCAAAUUUGUGAAGCAUUUAUUAUCUUA